rnacentral:rRNA from 1 species
UUCGCGCGAUCGCCCUUGAGUUUGAUAUGGCUCAGGAUGAACGCUAGCGGCAGGCUUAAUACAUGCAAGUCGAGGGGCAGCAGGUCUGUAGCAAUACAGAUGCUGGCGACCGGCAAACGGGUGCGGAACACGUACACAACUUACCCUAGACUGGGGGAUAGCCUUCCGAAAGGGAGAUUAAUACCUCAUAGGAUCGUAGAGUGGCAUCACUUAGCGAUUAAAGCUCAGGCGGUUUAGGAUGGGUGUGCGGCUGAUUAGGUAGUUGGCGGGGUAACGGCCCACCAAGCCUAUGAUCAGUAACUGGUGUGAGAGCACGACCAGCCACACGGGCACUGAGACACGGGCCCGACUCCUACGGGAGGCAGCAGUAAGGAAUAUUGGUCAAUGGACGCAAGUCUGAACCAGCCAUGCCGCGUGAAGGAUGAAGGUCCUCUGGAUUGUAAACUUCUUUUAUAGGGGACGAAAUCAACAUUUCUAUGUUGUCUGACGGUACCCUAGGAAUAAGCACCGGCUAACUCCGUGCCAGCAGCCGCGGUAAUACGGAGGGUGCAAGCGUUAUCCGGAUUCACUGGGUUUAAAGGGUGCGUAGGAGGGCAGGUAAGUCAGCGGUGAAAUCUCUGGGCUUAACCCGGAAACUGCCAUUGAUACUAUCUGUCUUGAAUAUGGUGGAGGUGAGCGGAAUAUGUCAUGUAGCGGUGAAAUGCUUAGAUAUGACAUAGAACACCGAUUGCGAAGGCAGCUCGCUACGCCUAUAUUGACUCUU